UACGUAGGGUGCAAGCGUUGUCCGGAUUUAUUGGGCGUAAAGAGCUCGUAGGCGGUUUAGCAAGUCGGGUGUUAAAACUACAGGCUCAACCUGUAGAUGCCACUCGAGACUGCUAUGACUUGAGUCUGGUAGGGGAGCACGGAAUUCCUGGUGUAGCGGUGAAAUGCGCAGAUAUCAGGAGGAACACCGGUGGCGAAGGCGGUGCUCUGGGCCAGUACUGACGCUGAGGAGCGAAAGCGUGGGUAGCAAACAGG
rnacentral:rRNA from 1 species